rnacentral:lncRNA from 1 species
AAGAUAGUUAUUUGUAAUUACAGAGGUCACGAGUUAAAAUCCUCAUAAGACUAAUUUUUGAAUGUUUAUCUUUUUAACAUUUAAGCCCCAAAUUAAACCGCGCUUAUGUGUAAAUAUUGUAGAUUAAAAUAAAUGAAAAAUGAAAAAAAAAAGUUACAGAGAUCAUAAAAGUUACAAAGAUCCAAAAGAAAAUCAAUUGUUAGGAACUCGGACAAAAAGAAAGACAUAAACAUCAAAA